rnacentral:ncRNA from 1 species
UACUGGAGAGGGGACCCAAGAAACUGGUACCACAUAACAAUACUGGGAUCAUCGAGUCUAGUAAUUAGGAUGAGUACAAUCUAUACCCGUAAGGAGGAUACAUUAGAGGGCAAGUCUGGUGCCAGCAGCCCUGAUAAUUCCACUCCAAUAGAGUAUGUAAGCUGUUGUAGUUGAAAUGCUCAGUGUUGGACUUUGGAUUGGGUCAUUCUGGGUGUAUCAGUCGCCUUGUCCCUCUUACUGCCGUUGCCGGGAAUGUUCUCCUGGAUUGUCGGUUCGUGCUCUAUCGUUGUUAGCCUUGGAGAACUAAAAGCAAACACUAGUUGUAGAUAUUGCAUGGGACAAUCUCAUUGGACUUUGGUCCUAUUGUGUUGGCCUUUGGGAUCUGAGUACUGAUUACCAAGGAUAGUCAGGGGCACUCAAAGUGAUAGCUAUUUACACGAACAGAGAUAUUCAAGUUACACUAACUAUCAGACUGGAAAGUAUGGAAGAAAUUGGUAGAGCAAUAUCUAAGUUAGAAACAUGGAUCUACUUAAUUUUUGAUCAAUA